rnacentral:rRNA from 1 species
GACGAACGCUGGCGGCGUGCUUAACACAUGCAAGUCGAACGGAAAGGCCCUGCUUUUGUGGGGUGCUCGAGUGGCGAACGGGUGAGUAACACGUGAGUAACCUGCCCUUGACUUUGGGAUAACUUCAGGAAACUGGGGCUAAUACCGGAUAGGAGCUCCUGCUGCAUGGUGGGGGUUGGAAAGUUUCGGCGGUUGGGGAUGGACUCGCGGCUUAUCAGCUCGUUGGUGGGGUAGUGGCUUACCAAGGCUUUGACGGGUAGCCGGCCUGAGAGGGUGACCGGCCACAUUGGGACUGAGCUACGGCCCAGACUCCUACGGGAGGCAGCAGUGGGGAAUAUUGCACAAUGGGCGGAAGCCUGAUGCAGCAACGCCGCGUGCGGGAUGACGGCCUUCGGGUUGUAAACCGCUUUCGCCUGUGACGAAGCGUGAGUGACGGUAAUGGGUAAAGAAGCACCGGCUAACUACGUG